GACUGGUUAUCCAAUUUCAAGGUCCAUGGUUACUUUGAUAGUAAUGCGAUUAAAUUAAACGUAAAAAAUCAAAGGGUUAAUAAAAAAAACCUACAAUAAAUAAUGGAAAGUAAAUAAUCUUCAAUAUGAUUGGUUAGUUGAAGGGUUUUCAAGGCAAUCCUACCGAGACUGCUCGACAAGCUGAUUCAGCUGUAUCGUGUUUGAACACACCCAGUUUUAACUGGUUUUUUAUUGUGUUUUAUUGUCGAUUUAUAAUUUAAUGUUAACACUACCUAUUUAUUGGAAUUGGAUAUUAACUAUAAAAUUACAAACCAUGAUAAUCAGGGAUAUCCACUCAGAGGAAAUAAACAGAUGAUUGCUUGUUAUUAAGGACCGUAAUGGAGUUCAAAAAAGAUGAAUUCACUGAGCCUGGAAGACAAAGCAACGGUGGCCAAGUUACAUUGUAGUUGAUCGAUAUGAAGUCCAAGGAAAAGGUUGAAUGUCGUUAUUGGAUUUGCGAUUGAUUCCAACGCCAUCGGAGCUUUAAAGAUCUCAAGAUAAUUGAAGGGAUGGACAGUUAAUUUAAUAUCUCACAUUAGUUCAAGAUAGUUUCUAAUUUCUAUGGACAAGUUCGUUUUGAUAUUUACACUUACUCAAGUGUCUAUUGUUUAUAAUCAAUGUUGUGGUGACAAGUGAACAUCACAUUGCCCAACUGACAUCAUUAUGAUUGUGGCUUGUUACGAGCCACAUUGUCAUUUGUCCUGUUCAUUUUACUCUUGGCGAGUUCAACCAAGCGAGCUACAAUCAACUUUCUUAUGGACUCUGAUUUCUUGUCCCGGGCAAACACAAAGAGAGUUGGACUAAAGUAGAGGGUUGCAAUUACAAACCACAUUCAGUGUUUCAAUGUUGUAAAGCCAAGGGCCACACUGUCUACACAUUGUCAGUCAACAUCAACUGUAAACCCAUAAAGUAAACCCUUGCAACAAGUGGUUUCUUUCACUAGACACACACAACUACUCUCUUAAACCCUUGUUGAAUCGUAUUUUCCAAGUUGCGUUUUUAAUCUGUCAACCUUAAUUACUCGCCAUCAAUAUUAUUCUGAUUUUUCCCCUAAAAAUUUAAAAUUUCACUUGCUUUUCAUUCCUAUCAUCAAUAUCAUCAUCUUUAUCUUGCUUUAUUCUAUAGUUUACCUGUCUAAUCUUUCUGUGUUAAAGUUGCGUGAUAAUUUGUUUUCCUUUCUUCCUUCUAAAGGUUUUGACAAAAAAAUGAUCAUCUCAAUGUCUGGUUAUUAUAUGUUUCUGUUAAGGAAUGAAAUGUUAUCGUGAUUGAUUAAGGAAUCAGCAAUUUGAUCUUGAAAAGAUGAUGAUGGUGAUGAUCGGUGUUGUUGUGAAAAAUAUCAUUUUGAUUAUAAAAUGAUGAUCACUUUGCUUUCAUCUCACUCUCUCCAUCUCUUUGUGCGAGUUUUUAUCAGACAAAAAAAUCUUGAAGACCUUUUUUACCUUUACCAUUGCUCUUCAUCAUCAUCUUUGAAUGGAAAAGAUGAAAGAUGCUUUAUAAGAAACAAGUCAAUGAAUUUAUAAAGGAAAAAAAUGUAUUGAAUCGGCAUCGUCAAUGACCAAUUAUAUCAGUAUUAUCAUUUAGAUUAUUCAAUUGUUGAACUUGCAAGAGAGAAUAAUUUCAUUUGAAUUUCUUAUUGAUUAUUCCCACUAUCAUUAUAAAGAUAUAUGACUUUAAAUCUCCAUUUCAUGUUCUGUUAAAUUGCUGUGUCAAUACAAUUUGAUUAAAGUUAAUGAGCUUGAGUUUUA